UAGAAAGGGGAAUUAGGGUUUACCUGGUAUGAAUCCUGAGAUACUCGGACUCUCUCUUCUCCCGCGUACACGUGAACGGCGCGGCGGACUACUUCUUCUCCGAUGAACGGAACCGCAGCGCCACCAUGAGGCCAUCACGUAACGACCUUCACUUCUCUCUCUCAGCAUCUCCGAUCUUCUUUCUGCUUCUGUAUUCGGAUUCACGAUAAUGAUUAGGUUGAUGAUGAUAACAGCUCAGGUAACGGUAAUUUGUUCUUGUUCAUAGCACUCGGAUCGGCGAAGCUUUGUUGAUGCGUGCGGAGGUUAUUGGUGGAAGAUUGCGAGCGGUUAUAGUGAAGAGAAAAAUCGAGAUUGAAGAGUGAAGGAAGAGAGUUAUGGUUCGAGGAAGAAGGAGAUUUGAGGAAGACUGAAGAAUUGAAGGUUCCAGGUUCAAUCGCAAGUUCUCUUUUUGAUUUUUCCGUGUCAAUUUGUUCUUCUCCUUUUCUCUGUAUUAUCGAUUCUCUUCCCCUCUCUGUUAGUGAUGGUUGAAGGUGAGAAAAAAUGGAGAGUUGAAGGUGAUGAAGAUGAUAGAGUGAAGGAAGUGAAUUGAAGAUGAUGAAGAUCAGAAGAUGAAGAAGAUGCUGAUGAAUGAAUGGAGAUGGAAAUGGUGGAGAAAGAUGAAGAUGUGUGAAGGUGGUGAGUGAAGAAUGGUUGGAAGUGGUGUGUGUGAAGGUGGAUGAAUGGAAAAAUGGCGUGAGAUUUUGGAUUGUGGAGGGAAGUUUGAAUUUAUAGAGGAGGUGAAGGUGAAUGUUAGUUAUGGAGGAGAACUGGGAGCCGUUAGAUUGAGUGAGGUAGUUAUGAAACUGAGGGUGUAGAUUGAGUCAGUUGGAUUCAGUUAGGGGCUUGUUGUGACAAAGCCAACCGAUUCAGGAUCAGUUUGAGAUUGAUACAACGCUGCCAGUUUUGCUGCCCAUAAGUCUCUUAUCAAGUUGCUGGAUCUGACGGUAUGCUAGUCGGUCGGGAAGCGCAUCUGAUGGUAAUAUCCUCAAGCGGAACAAAGGCACUGAACUGGAAUUUGAUUUAAUUGCAGACUGGUUCAUGAGCCGAUACGAUUCAAUUUUGUGGCGCGGUUUCGGACUGACAAAUGGUUUGUUUAGUUCACUUUUAUGAAGUUGAAUGCUGAACUGGUUUAUGCUGAUGCUGCAAGGAGUUUGGGCAUGGAUUGUGAUUGUAAUAACAGGCUCCUUAUUUUUGUACCUUUUCCAAUGGUGUGAUAAAGUUGUAAUGGUUUAUGAAUAUCUCGUGUAAUUUUGAAAUAAUGUGAUGAAUGGACUUUCUCUUCUAUUUUC